GAAUGAUUGGGCGUAAAGCGUCUCUAGGUGGCUUUUUAAGUCCGCAGUCAAAUCCCAUGGCUCAACCCUGGACAGGCGGUGGAAACUAUUAAGCUCGAGCAUGGUAGGGGCAGAGGGAAUUUUUAGGGGAGCGGUGAAAUGCGUAAAGAUCGGAAAGGACACCAAUUAGAUAGAGCUUCGUCUAUAUAUUGGACAACACCCAAAUGGUGGAAACAUAACAUGCAUGUC
rfam:Beta vulgaris subsp. vulgaris Bvchr8.sca018.con0271.1, whole genome shotgun sequence.